rnacentral:rRNA from 1 species
CCUACGGGUGGCAGCAGUGAGGAAUAUUGGUCAAUGGCCGAGAGGCUGAACCAGCCAAGUAGCGUGCGGGAAGACGGCCCUACGGGUUGUAAACCUCUUUUGUCGGGGGGCAAAACGAGUCACGUGUGACUCAUUGUGAGUACCCGAAGAAAAAGCAUCGGCUAACUCCGUGCCAGCAGCCGCGGUAAUACGGAGGAUGCGAGCGUUAUCCGGAUUUAUUGGGUUUAAAGGGUGCGAAGGCGGAGGUUAAAGGGAGCGGUAAAAUUGCGGGGCUCAACCCCGUACUGCGGUUGAAACUGGAUGCCUUGAGUGCGCGAGAAGUAUGCGGAAUGCGUGGUGUAGCGGUGAAAUGCUUAGAUAUCACGCAGAACUCCGAUUGCGAAGGCAGCAUACGGGCGCGCAACUGACGCUGAUGCACGAAGGCGUGGGUAUCGAACAGGAUUAGAUACCCGAGUAGUC